GGGUUGUGAGGUUAAGCGACCAAGCGUACACGGUGGAUGCCCUGGCAGUCAGAGGCGAUGAAGGACGUGCUAAUCUGCGAAAAGCGCCGGUAAGGUGAUAUGAACCGUUAUAGCCGGCGAUGUCCGAAUGGGGAAACCCAGUGUGACUCGUCACACUAUCAUUAACUGAAUCCAUAGGUUAAUGAGGCGAACCGGGGGAACUGAAACAUCUAAGUACCCCGAGGAAAAGAAAUCAACCGAGAUUCCCCCAGUAGCGGCGAGCGAACGGGGAGGAGCCCAGAGCCUGAAUCAGCAUGUGUGUUAGUGGAAGCGUCUGGAAAGGCGCGCGAUACAGGGUGACAGCCCCGUACACAAAAGCGCAUGUGCUGUGAGCUCGAUGAGUAGGGCGGGACACGUGGUAUCCUGUCUGAAUAUGGGGGGACCAUCCUCCAAGGCUAAAUACUCCUGACUGACCGAUAGUGAACCAGUACCGUGAGGGAAAGGCGAAAAGAACCCCGGCGAGGGGAGUGAAACAGAACCUGAAACCGUGUACGUACAAGCAGUGGGAGCCCCACCACCAAAGCGUUUCGCUUUGCGUGGUGCGCAAAAUGCGUAACGACAGCACGAUGGACGGUUAACGGAGCGUAAGCGAC
rnacentral:rRNA from 1 species